UGUGGUGAAAGUCCUUAACAACUAGUUACCAUAAUCUCCUAACCACAUUCAUCUCAUUUUCACCUUUACUUUAACAUAGUUAAGAAACUCUCUCAACCUUCAUAUCUUAGCCAAGAACACUAUCAAAAACCCUCAUCUUUUUAACACUUCCUUGAUGACCAACAUGGCGCUUGAAGAUACAUAGGAUGAUCUAAGGAUACUACAAGAAGAAGCAAGCCUUUUCAUCCAUUCCAUAGCUUCCAAACACCAAGAUCAACACUUUUUCUUUUCUUUAAUCAUCAUCAAGAUCAUCCCUAGCCAUUAGUGCUAGAAGUCGCAACAUUGUUCAAGACGACCACGCGUAAGAUCACAAAGAUGUACCAUUCACGGACGCAAUACUGGAAUUAGUGGACCAUGACGGGAUUCUCAAACAAGAUAACAAGUUUCGGAACUCCAUGCCAUCUUUUGGAGGGUUUAACUGUUAUAUUCCACCUCUUUGUGGCAAUAUGAUGGUUUAAACCUUAGUAGUUUAUUUUCAUUUUGAUGUAUGAAACAAUAACACUUUACUUUCAUGUUAAUGGUUUGUAACCGACACACUAAACUUAUGUUGUGAUCUUUUGAAA